GGAUUUCUUUCAUAUACAACGUGUGUUGUCCUAUUUUAGUAUUUCCUCUAACCCUGCAAAGCACAUUAUUACUUUUGUCCCGUCAGACGCCGACAAGCAUAACUAGAUGGUUGUGUAGCUGUGUGGUAUAGGAGUUCGCUUCCCAGUAAG